AGUGAACGCUGGCGGUAGGCCUAACACAUGCCAGUCGAACGGCAGCACAGUAAGAGCUUGCUCUUACGGGUGGCGAGUGGCGGACGGGUGAGGAAUACAUCGGAAUCUACUUUUUCGUGGGGGAUAACGUAGGGAAACUUACGCUAAUACCGCAUACGACCUACGGGUGAAAGCAGGGGAUCUUCGGACCAUGCGCGAUUGAAUGAGCCGAUGUCGGAUUAGCUAGUUGGCGGGGUAAAGGCCCACCAAGGCGACGAUCCGUAGCUGGUCUGAGAGGAUGAUCAGCCACACUGGAACUGAGACACGGUCCAGACUCCUACGGGAGGCAGCAGUGGGGAAUAUUGGACAAUGGGCGCAAGCCUGAUCCAGCCAUACCGCGUGGGUGAAGAAGGCCUUCGGGUUGUAAAGCCCUUUUGUUGGGAAAGAAAAGCAGCAGGUUAAUACCCCGCUGUUCUGACGGUACCCAAAGAAUAAGCACCGGCUAACUUCGUG
rnacentral:rRNA from 1 species